UCCAGGUACAAAUUAUAAAUUCUCAGCAGUGAGCAGAUUGUGAGCCACUGAAUAUAGAUAGAGAUCUACAAGAAGGAAAUAUUUAAGAUAAGACUUAAUCGUGAAGUGCAAUCCGACAUCGAACAUUUCGGAACUUUACCGGAACUUUUUAUGAUCACCCUUAGCCUUAGCUUUAGUUAUAAUAAUAAAUUAUAAGUUCAUAAAUUUGUUAUUGAUUUAUUGUUAUAUUAUAAAUUAUAGACGUCUAGCCCAGUCUAGACUAUAGAGUCUAGGUACUUAAAUCUUAGCCUAGCCCUUAUCAUGAAAAAAUGUACGGCACUAGCUAAGAUUUAGAAUUUAAGAAUAUGAUUGAUAUCUUAAAUAUCUAGAUCUACUCUAUUCUAGAGACUCUUAGACUACGAGUACUACAGUCACAGUCUAGAUCUAUCUUUUUAAGUUCUUGCAAGAACCAAAACUAUUUUCAUUUCUAGAAUCUAGGAGAUUGAAAUCAUUCAUUAUUCAUGCUUACGAUUUCAGAGCAACACUGCCACAAGGUCUGAAAGGGGAACUGUACUGUACUAGUACUGCCAACAAACCUGCACAAUUACUCAGACUAUUAAGGUGUCGGACCAUCAUUGGAUUACUUGAGAGAAUAAAGUUAGGACCAAUCCAAGACAGUUUUAUUUUGUGCUGAUGAAUCUUAUCAAUGGACAUCCAGCUAAAUCUAUCCAGUACGAGUGGCUAAAAUUAAUAUGCAAACAAGGCAGAGCCACAAAACAGUCAAGUAAAGACAUUUGGACAAAUCAAAGGUCAUGGAAACAAGAUUGUCCAGCAUUGAUUCGUGCAGUGAUACGGCAUUCGGAUGAUACUGGCUUCCAAUUCGUAAUCACAAAGGCACGACUGUCACAUGAAAAUCAUCCCACAGAUCAUAAAUUAUUAAAAAGCCUAUUUACUCCUAACAGUUAUCUCUCAAGAAUUUUCACAUGUCAAUAUUGAUUUCGCGAUAGCUAUAUACAAUUAUUUUAUU